rnacentral:rRNA from 1 species
UACGAAGGGGGCUAGCGUUGUUCGGAUUUACUGGGCGUAAAGCGCACGUAGGCGGAUCGUUAAGUCAGGGGUGAAAUCCUGGAGCUCAACUCCAGAACUGCCUUUGAUACUGAGGAUCUUGAGUUCGGGAGAGGUGAGUGGAACUGCGAGUGUAGAGGUGAAAUUCGUAGAUAUUCGCAAGAACACCAGUGGCGAAGGCGACUUACUGGACUGUAACUGACGCUGAGGCAUGAAAGCGUGGGGAGCAAACAGG